rnacentral:rRNA from 1 species
UACAGAGGUCUCAAGCGUUGUUCGGAUUCAUUGGGCGUAAAGGGUGCGUAGGCGGCGCGGUAAGUCGGAUGUGAAAUCUCGGAGCUUAACUCCGAAACUGCAUUCGAUACUGCCGUGCUUGAGGACUGGAGAGGAGACUGGAAUUUACGGUGUAGCGGUGAAAUGCGUAGAUAUCUGGAGGAAUACCGGUGGCGAAGGCGGCAUCCUGGACCGGCAUUGACGCUGAGUGAGCGAAAGCCAGGGGAGCAAACGGG